rnacentral:ncRNA from 1 species
AUAUAUUUUUUAUAUUUUUCAUAAUUUAUUAUAAAUUUAUUUUACAUGUAAAUUUUAGUGUGUAAUCUUAAUUAUUUAAAAAAUAAUUAAUUUAAAUGUACAGUAAUUAAAAUUAAAAAUUUAAGAAAUUAAGAUUUAGUAAUAUUUAAAUUAAAAACUAAUUUUGUGCCAGCAGUUGCGGUUAAACAAAAUUUAAAUUAAAUUAUUUCAGUAUAUAAUAAAUAAUAAAUUAUUAAAAUUAAAUAUUAAAUUAUUAAGUGAAAUUUUAAUUUAAUUAAAAUUUAUAUUAAAAUUAUGAUUUAAUAAAUUUUAUUAUAAACUAGGAUUAGAUACCCUAUUAUUAAAAAUUUAAUUAAAAAUACUAAAAUAGUAAAUAAAAUAUUAUUGAAACUUAAAUAAUAUGGCGGUAUUUUAGUUCAUUCAGAGGAAUCUGUCUAAUAAUUGAUAAUCCACGAAUAAAUUUACUUAAUUUAUAAUUUUGUAUAUCAUUGUUAAAAAAAUAUUUUUAAAUAAAAAUAAUAUUUAAAAAUUAAGAUUAAAAUUUAAUUCAGAUCAAGAUGCAGAUUAUAAUUAAGUUUAAGAUGGAUUACAAUAAAUUUAUUUAAACGGAAAAAAUUUUGUAAUAUUUAAUUGAAGGUGGAUUUGAAUGUAAUUUUAAUUAAUUUAUUAAAAUGAUUAAAAAUUGGAAUAUGUACAUAUUGCCCGUCACUUUCAUUUAAAAAUUGAAAUAAGUCGUAACAAAGUAGAGGUACUGGAAAGUGUUUCUAGAAUGA